GACGAACGCUGGCGGCGUGCUUAACACAUGCAAGUCGAACGGAAAGGCCCUGCUUUUGUGGGGUGCUCGAGUGGCGAACGGGUGAGUAACACGUGAGUAACCUGCCCUUGACUUUGGGAUAACUUCAGGAAACUGGGGCUAAUACCGGAUAGGAGCUCCUGCUGCAUGGUGGGGGUUGGAAAGUUUCGGCGGUUGGGGAUGGACUCGCGGCUUAUCAGCUUGUUAGUGGGGUAGUGGCUUACCAAGGCUUUGACGGGUAGCCGGCCUGAGAGGGUGACCGGCCACAUUGGGACUGAGAUACGGCCCAGACUCCUACGGGAGGCAGCAGUGGGGAAUAUUGCACAAUGGGCGGAAGCCUGAUGCAGCAACGCCGCGUGCGGGAUGACGGCCUUCGGGUUGUAAACCGCUUUCGCCUGUGACGAAGCGUGAGUGACGGUAAUGGGUAAAGAAGCACCGGCUAACUACGUG
rnacentral:rRNA from 1 species